rnacentral:rRNA from 10 species
ACGACUCUCGACAACGGAUAUCUCGGCUCUCGCAUCGAUGAAGAACGUAGCGAAAUGCGAUACUUGGUGUGAAUUGCAGAAUCCCGUGAACCAUCGAGUCUUUGAACGCAAGUUGCGCCCGAAGCCACUAGGCUGAGGGCACGUCUGCCUGGGUGUCACGC